UCAUAGCUCUGAAAGGUGAAGUACAUGAAGAUAUUUAUUACACCUUCCUUCUAUUGCAUUGCUCCUAUAGGCUUCUUUGUGGUUCAAAGCAACGAGAUUCAAACUUAGACACUGCCCAAUUCAUGCUCAACGAUUUUGUAGAAAACUUCCCUAUUUUGUUUGGUGAAAACAGUGUUUCUUAUAACGUUCACGGUCUUCUGCACUUAAAGGAAACCGUAAAUUAUGUAAGGGACCCGAUUUCUGGAUUUUGCUACUACACUUAUGUUAAAGGUAAUAAAUGUCUUUUCAAGGGAUCUGUCCCCUCUAGGUCCCAAUCAAACAAUUUUUGUUAUAUGAAAGGCAAUUUAGGAAAUAACAGAUGAUUCACUGAUAGGUAGAAAAUAUGUUAAAACAAACAGUUUCUAUGAGAUGCCGUUUGUUUCUAGUUUCUGGAGCUGAUAUUGCAAAAUUUUCUUUGUAAGAUGUAAGAAUGUAAGGCUUUCGCAAUUCUCUUUGAAGGCAAACAUAUUGUAAUACCAAUGCUAAAUUUUUAUUAGAAACUAAUAAUAAUAAAAUAAAAAAUAUUAAUAAAAAUUAAAAAAAAAUAAUAGUAAUUAAAUAAAAAAAUAAGGACAAUAUGGCCCAAAAACAUUAAAAAGACUUGCUACAGUGAGGUAUCUACCGAAAAGGCUCGUAAAUGCAAAGAUAAGGAAGAUUUAAAGGCUUUCUUUGAAAGUAUAGUAUAAGCUACUAACAAGUAUAUCCGUGUUUUAAUUUAUAUCUAUUUUGUAUUACUAGAACUGCUGGAAAGAAAAAUAAGUCAAAUUUUAGAAGAAAUAGUGCAGCAGAAAGUGCUAAUACAGCAGCUUCUAAGAGAGCGCAUCAACGACUCCUCGGCGAUAAUUCACAAAUUUCCUAUUAAAAGCAAGGAAGAUUUGGUCCAAAUUAAUGAAGAAAUAGAAGUUACCAGGAAGAGGAAGUUAAAUGUAUGACUUAUAACUUCUCCAAGGUUCUGGGGUGGUGAAAAACCUAAAAAAUAUCUUAACUUGCGAAUUCGCGAUGCAGUACAAUAUUCAUGGGGUUUUGGGCAAAGAUUGGCACCAUUCGCUAAACCAUUUCUUCGAUGCCCUUAUUGAAUCCAUUCCAACCGGGAUUGACAAGGGAUCGCCAGAGAAUCAACUGCGACAAGCCCUUCAGCGUAAAAAAAAAAAGAUUAAUAAAAACAGAUUACUUAAUAAAUAAGAAAAAUAAAUAAUAAAUAAAAUAGAAUGUAAGAUAAUUUUAUUAUAAUAUUAGGAAAUAAGGAAUUAGAUUAAAAAUUACAUAUAAAUGAAUUUAAUAAAUAUAUUUCUCUAUAUUUAAUAAACAUUUGAUUUAUUUUAGAUUAACGAAACCACUAGCAAUUUGGAAUUAGUCAAAUCACUAGCUACAAGUAUUAUGCAUUACCCACUAGUGAUUCCGUAUAAGCGAUUUACUAAAGAAUUUGGGACGAGUCAUUUCAUCAAUGACUGGUAAUGCAGCAUCACACUGCUCGAUUACUCUCGUAGAAAAUUGCAAUGUACAAAUCAGAGAGCUGCAACGAUCAAAAUUUUUUCAAUCAUACCCGAUCAUUGACUCAGAUUUUUUGUGACGGAAAACUUUGCUUCAACAAAAAUUAAUGAUCGUAAGCGAGCGUGCUCAAAGCGAACAAUCAGUUUCAAUCACUGUUGCUUGUUUCGUAAUGAUUUUUCUCGAUCGAACGCCUUGUGUGAGCAGCAAAGAAUGUUCGAGAAUGCUGCUUGCAUUCCGAUCGAUCACAAUCAUACCGUUUGGUCAUACCGGGUGGUUCCUGCCAGCAGCGCAGUCGCUGAGCGUUCUUUUUCUUUUUUAUUUAUUUUAUUAUAACUGAAAAAAGAAAUAGGCUCGGACCAUGUUUAGUUGAUAAUUUAUUGUUUUUAAAUUCAUUUUUUUUUAAGUUUUAGCGAUUAAGAAACCAAGUUUAUUUUUAUUAUUUAUUUUAAUUUUAAGUUUUUGUUGAUCUCAAUGAAGAAGUGAUAAAAAUUUGAAAUUUGUGUUCCCUAAUAUUUUACCUUUUGUUUCCGUUAAAACACACAAAUAUGUACAUACAAACUAUGCACAUACAUAUUUGCAGGGCAAUUAUCGAUCUGAUUGGUUCAAUCACAAUCAAUUCAAACGCACACUGGAUCGAUGUCUGAGUUUUCGUGCAUCGUUGGACUUGAUCGUAUUUUUCUGUACAAUCAUUUCCAAUCAUCAUACCGGAACCAACCAAUCAGUUUCAAUCAGUAAGCAGAGCAAUCAAAUCAACUGAUCGAACUCCUUCGCUUUGAGCACGAAGCUCGAUCGAACAAUUUUGUAGUGAACCGAUGUGCUGAGUUUAACCGUUUUGAGCGUGGCUGAUCAAACCGGAUCGAUCAUACUCAAUGCAGGUCUCUGGUACAAAUCGUUAGUCAAAUAACAUUACGGGUAAUCGGGCUGGAAUCGGUCCAAAUGAUUAAGAAUUAGUCAUAUCGCUAGCUCUUCUCUGAUGGUACCGAACUUCAGGGUAGUUUAAAAAAUGAUGUACUAUAUACAUAUGUAUAUAAGCAAUUAAAAUACUGGAAUAAAAUUAGAUAUUCAUUCUAAUAAAUAUUCAUAAUAAAAAUCCUGCUAAAAAUUCAGGUACUACUUACAUUUUGUCUUUCGAGCUUAAAUAAAGAACCUUGCCAAAAUUAAAAAGUCCUGUAUUAAUAAAAUAGGCAAUAUACAACAAUGAAACAAUACAGCAAUCUUUACAAAACAGACAAUAGAAAAAAAGUCAUGUCAUUGGCGGAUUUAUCCGAAAAGGUGUUGUACACAUCCAACACUCUUUCGACAAACGCAUUGAGAAAAAUCUCCAAAUUCAAGAGAAAAAUGUAAUGUCUCAGAGAAGUAACGGAUAAUCUCAACUAAGUAAUAACAAUAAAAAGUGAUCAUAUAAAACUUUUGAAAACUGUGUUUCUUUUCAUUGUUUUCUUGAAGUUGAAAAGUUGUACUUUGAAAUAACGACGGAGUAUUUCGAGAAGGAGAGUCCGAAAUUACUUAUACCUCAUACAAAUAAUUAUAUGUGUAUAAUUAGGUUUCUUGUUUUUUCGCCAUAUUUGAAAAAAUAUCCCGCUUCUGAAAUUGAGCACCUCUUUGGUGAUAUGUUGUUGUUGUGAAUUGACCAAAAUUUUUGCUUUCUCGUCUCAUUCGUUGUACCGUAGCUUUCAAAUUGUACGUGAGCUUUUAGUGCUGCGUAGUAAAUAAUUAUAUGUGCACAUCAGUUCGAAAU